UACGUAGGGGCCAAGCGUUGUCCGGAUUUAUUGGGCGUAAAGAGCUCGUAGGCGGUUCGGCAAGUCAGCUGUGAAAUCUCCACGCUCAACGUGGAGGGGUCAGCUGAUACUGCUGUGACUUGAGUCCGGUAGGGGAGUGUGGAAUUCCCGGUGUAGCGGUGAAAUGCGCAGAUAUCAGGAGGAACACCAGCGGCGAAGGCGGCGCUCUGGGCCGGUACUGACGCUGAGGAGCGAAAGCGUGGGGAGCAAACAGG
rnacentral:rRNA from 1 species